UGGACAUCUUGGAUCAGUUCUACCAAAGCAAUAAAAAGACCUUGAAGAAGAUAUGUGGGAUUAGACAUUCAAAAAG